GAGUAAUAUAUAGNUUAAUGUGCCUCGAAGACUGGGAUAGCCACUGGAAACGGUGAUUAAUACUAGAUAGUCCUUUCUCUCAUAAGAGAGAUUGGUAAACGUUUUUUCGCUUUGAGAUCAGACUAUAUCCCAUCAGCUUGUUGGUAGUGUAAGAGACUACCAAGGCUAUGACGGGUAGCGGGUUUGAGAGGAUGAUCCGCCACACUGGUACUGAGACACGGACCAGACUCCUACGGGAGGCAGCAGUGAGGAAUAUUGCACAAUGGGGGAAACCCUGAUGCAGCAACGCCGCGUGGAGGAUGACGCAUUUCGGUGUGUAAACUCCUUUUAUAUGUCAAGAAAAUGACGGUAGCAUAUGAAUAAGCACCGGCUAACUCCGUGCCAGCAGCCGCGGUAAUACGGAGGGUGCAAGCGUUACUCGGAAUCACUGGGCGUAAAGGGCACGUAGGCGGGUUGGAAAGUCAGAUGUGAAAUCCUACAGCUUAACUGUAGAACUGCAUUUGAAACUUCUAACCUAGAGUAUGGGAGGGGGAGAUGGAAUUAGUG
rnacentral:rRNA from 1 species